ACUAGAGGUUGUGGCCACGUCUUCUUUUUUGCGUUUAUGAACAGUGGGAGAAAGCGAUAAGCCCCGAGCGAUCCGUUCGGCUCCACUCCUCUCUCUUUCCCUUUUCCUCUGCCUCGUGCUCUCCUUUCCUCGCCGCCGCCACCCCAUCCUAGGCGGCUCCUCUCCUCAUCGAACCAGCCGCCUCCUCCCCAUCUUCACGCGUAGCCUCCUCUCCCUCAAGCCCCGCCUCCUUCCCACCGGGCUUCGCCUCUUCGGGCGGCGGGACGCAGUGGCUGUGGUGAUGGCAGAUGGGGCGACAACGGCGGCGCUCCUCCUCUCCCAUGGCGGUCGGCGGCGCUCUGGCCGUGGAGGCCUGCUCCUCAUGCUCCUCGUCUGCCCGCUCCAUCUCUCCGCGGCCGCACCCGAGUCCGAGUGCGCCAAGUUCGCCGGCCCGCGCGCACCUGCACCGGCUCCUCUUCAUCCGACCCGUGCCGCGCUGCGUUCGCCGCGUCGCCUCCUCCUGCGCUACGCCGGCUCCGCCGCCCCAGACCACGCCCCUUCGCAUGCUGCUACAGCGCCCCCCGCGCGGUCGCCGGCUCCCUCCGGCCGGCUCCGCCUCUGCCCGGGGCCGGGUGCUCCUCUCCUCGCGCGCCCUCGCGGUCGCAAGAGGCGGAUAUGUACGGAGGAUCCACGAGCUUGGUGCCAUCCAUCCCGUCCGGCGACGCUCACCCCCUCUCCUCCAACGCGUCGGUGCUUUAUUCACUUGCGUCUUCGCUGCCUCAAGUGCGCAGGUGAUUCUGCAAACCCCUCUCUAAUUUCUCUCUCUCUCUCUCUCUCUCUCUCUCUCUCUCUCUCUCUCCCUCUCUCUUGAUUCGGUUGUUGCGUUGCAAGAAAUAUUAUUGUGCAGAGGUGGCUGCAGCUAUGCACAUCUGUUUUUGAGGCUGCAGAUGCGACCACCAGCUGUUUGUAUAAAUGCUCAAGGAGGACUGCUCUGGAGAGGACAACACGUGUGUUUGAAAGAGGGAUGGAAAAGAGGGGGCUAGAGUAAGAGAAGAGGAAGGAGUGGAGCCACAUGUUAUUUCUUUGUCCUCUACGUCAUCCCACCAUUAUAGAGAUUUUCUUGGAUGACAUGCCUCCCAUACUCUCGCCCCUUGUGCUCCAUCUGUGUUGGUACCCUUUCAUGGUUUCUUGUCUCCACUUCUUUCAUGAUUCAUUCUUUUCAAAUACUAAUUCAGGUUGUUAUACUAAUUUGACCGAUGUGGACGGUGUAAUAAUUCAGGUCGUGCAUGACGGUCUGCUGAUUUCCUUGAUGCUUCAUCAGGUUUCACUUUUUUGAUACAUUGAUUGGUUCCCAAUUUGAUGCAAAUAGCCAAAAUGAAUGGAUAUUACUUGUGGUCAGACUAAAUUUUCCGUGUUCUUUGUGUGUGAUUAUGCUCAAGUUUUGGAAAAAUUGGGCUAAGGGGUGAUUGUGCUCAGGUUUUGGUGCAGGUUCUUUUGAAUUCUGAAACUUUGGUUUGGUAUGACAGACAAUGCUAUUAAUAUUUGAACAGACAAUAUAGUUAAUAGAGUCACUUCAUACUAACACGCAAACUCAUUUUGUAUUGCAGUGAGAUUCAGAUAAUUUUAGGAAACACAUGGAAAGGAGUCCAGACGGGCUCGGCGUACAUGGUUUUCAGUUAACGUGUCCUAAUUUUGCAGUGAGUGAUCGACGAAGGAAGCACAAGGAAAAGAGCAAGCCAUGAAAGAUGCAGUGAUUGAUAGAUUGGGCAACUUGUUCCUUUACAAGUGAAAGGUCAUUCUCAGACCGAAAAAGCAGCUGCGUUGUGCGAAUCCCAGAUCUUGUAAUGACCUCGAACUGUAUUUACACCGGCUUAGAGACCCCUCGGCUGGUGAAUCGGUUGUCCAUGGUUGAUAAAAGCACACACACUCACCAGGUUCAUCAGGUUGCUGUGAGUGUGGCCAUCAUGGCUAUCCCAGCAGCAGGUUCAGCUUCUGUACAUCCAUUUUUUCGGCUACUUUGCAUCUUUCAGAUCUGCAAUUACAUAUGAUGUUAGUUCCCUUCUGCCAUACGAUGUACUGCUACUUCUUCUCAGAUGUGUUGGUUUCUGCAGGUCCAUUGGUUGCUUCAUUUUCACCUAUAUGAUAGCUCGGGGCAUGCUCACCAGUUGUUCCGUUAAAAUGACAAAACCGACUGAAUUUUAUCUCUUAUAUGUGUUACUAAAUACUAGAGGUGAUUAUUUUCUUUCGGGGGAUUACAGUUUUAUAAGCGUUAUGCUUUUUGAGACUUUGAGGUCCAAACUAAUUAGUCUUUGAGAUCUCAAUGCUUCUAUAUAGAUAUAAUUAGUAUUUCUGACAAUGAGCAUCUCCGAAGCUGCAACCUAUGCUAAAAGUAGUGCUUAUAGCCGUAGUAGGCGAUACAUCAUUACAACUAAUGUGUGACACUUAUUUUGCAACAGCAACAUCCAAGUUUUUCAACAUUUUACAAUCUUACUAAUGUGUGCCGCCAAGUUUCUCUAUUUUAGACGGUACUGUCUUGUUACUUCUGAAAAUGGGUGUGUGUUCUGUUUAGCUGACUAUAAUUCGUUGUUGUAGUCGAAGAUGUUCCCAGGCUAGCAUCUGGUUUAGAACUUUACAAUUCACAUCAAUACUGAAUUUGUUUUGCUACUGAAUUUGCAUAUUAUUUCCAAUAUUGCGUCUCAUUGCACUUUGAAAAUACACUGGACUAUCAGUGGCGAUUUAAUUCUGCUUAUUUCUUAGCUACAAUAUUCCAUAGAAAAAACUUGAACUUUAAUAUCUGAGUGAUUAGUGUGCUUUGUAUAUCUGAUGUAUCGGGGAACUCUAAUAUCUGAGUUAUAUAUAUGGUUGUCUGGCAAGAUUGGUUUUCACCUAUCUAGCUCCUCAGCUCAAGGUUUUUAAGACGAUACAUUUCUUGAUACAUCAACUACCCAUAAACAUACCUCAUGUUUGCUUAAAGGACAACUGAUAUCUCAAUCAGCUCACCCUUUUCUGCCAAAAACCUAUCAUCAUGUUCCUUAAAAUAAGUUAUGCUUCUGUUUGUACAUUUGCAGCUUAUGGUGCUGCAUCUUUGGUUCUUUUUAUUCAAUUCAGAGCAGGAGACAAUGCUUUAUAUUGAUUGUUCUGGAUAGGUAUUUAGUCGUAAGAGAUAUCACCUCUGUGUCUCCAAAAAAGCAAAAACAACAAUUCACUGUUGAUUUACUUUGCUAUGAUUGCUCCCAUUAGAUUGUCCUUAAAUCAUGUGCAAAACUGAAGUAUUGUGUUGGCUGACUGUCAGCCUGACAGAUGAGAUGGGAUGAUGAUGCAGAGUGUUAAAAGGCCUAAUGGGUUAUCUCCUUGGUAGAUUAAGUUUGUUGGAUUGGUUUCACGCCAUUGAAAACAGAUGACACCAUGCCUCCCCCAAUUACAUGUGUCGCUUCCAAGUAGGACCCGUUUGCAAGUAAGAAAGUAAUAAUGAAUUUUCUACUCUCUGUUCUCUGCUGAACUUUCUUUUCUUUUGCCAUUUUGGCUGGUAGUCUUUCAUAGAAUUUUGUGAUAUCUACCUGACUCCACAAGGUCAUGCAACAUUAAGAAUUGCUGGGUUUAAAAAAUGCAGGAUGGAAUUUAUUGUUAAUUAAUUAUCUCUAUCUGAAGCAAGACAUUUUUAGUACACUGUUGAAUAGAGUUGAUGUAUCAGCAUGAGUAACAUUGCGGCAUUCUAAGGGUUGGUUCUAGAACCCCACCUAGAAAGCACUGUUUUUCCAGCAACUAUGUGGUUCAUAUGUUGAUGGGAGGAGAACCAGGAGGUAGUGCAAUAUCUUUAUUAGUUAUACUCAGGGAUGCAAAGUCUUCACCUGAUGAUUCCACCCCUUUACAUGACACUGGCUGCGGCACAGUAGAAAGUGUCUCGCCGAUGCUCUUUACGACACCAACUGAUCGAUUAAUGACUGCACUCAUAGAGAACAUAACAAGGUAUUUUAGGAAGUGCUUGGACCAGGUUCAAAUUUUUGACAGUCUUAGGCACAGUGUUGGUUUCAAGUUUUUUUCCGACACAGUUAAGACUUUCUGAAAUGCAGCCUUGAACUACAUGUGUUCUGUACAAAGCUUGUUUAGUUCUCUAAAACCUGCACAUGUUAGAUACAGUUUGAGCGAACAUGUGCAGAUUUGUGAGAACUAAAAAAACUUUGUCCAGAACAUGUCCGUUGAUAGUAAGAUUGUUUGUGAUAAUGAAAGGAGACAAUGCGUUUGAUAUAGCUUGUCAUGAGAUAAUGAAACAAUAGUGUUUAUUUGGUCACCAGCAAGAUGAUGAUGUGAAACGAACGGCUAUUUGCGCCUUUCAGAGUUUCUACCAUUUAAUAGUUUCCCAUAACAGAAUAUUUGCUAAUAGUUAGACGACCUUGUGAUUUUGUUUCUAUGGGUAAACAAAUAUAAGGUUAAUCAUGUAAGCAUAGCUUGAGCAAAAGCACAUGAGUUAGCUUCUGGAUUGGUAGCUAAAAAUGAGAUACUUAUGGUUGUUGAUGCCUUCCUUUUUUUGUAGUAACAUCCAUGUGUCCAGCAUAUGUAGAACAUUAGAUUUUUCUUGGUUGAUUGUUGUAGUUCGUUCUCAAGGUUUGGAAAGUUCUUUAGCUAUAUUCCUUGUCUCAUGCAAGCAGGAGCAAUAUCUUCUUUAUGCUGUGUGCCGCCAAGUUUCUCUAUUUUAGAUGGUUGUGUCUUUUCGCUUCUAAGAAGGGAUAUGUAUUUUAUUAAUCUGACUAUAAUUUGUGGUAGGUACAUGCUGAAAGAUGUUCUGAGGCUAGCACCUGGUUUAGAAGUUUUGCAAUUCACGACAAUACCUCAUAAUUGUGAUUUGAUGUCCAGAAUGUUAAUUGAAGAAUGAGUCUAUGAACUGAACUGCAUUGUAUUUUGUAAUAUAUCCUUAUAUAUAUAUAUAUAUGGUGCUUGUGGCGUUUUUUCGUAAUUAUAAGUUUUUAGAACAAUUCGCCUUCUAUCACUUGCGACCUAGACCAUCUUUUUCUGGACUGAUUGAUUCCAGUUUAUUUAUAUUUGUAAAAACCUCAUUGACUCAGGUUUCUUUAUAUUUGUUCAGGUUUCAGUCAACGGAAACAGGACUGCUGUACGCACUUCUUUUACGAAGAUGUACUUGGUGUUGCUUGGUAGGGAGAAAUGAAGUGUGUGCCUCAUUGUGAAUUCUAUCGAGAAGCAACUAUUUUAGUUAUAUGUCAAUUUCUAGGACACACGAGGUCAGCUUAAAUAUGGAAGUCUGCUUACAGUGUUCCCACGCUUAUGCUUCAUCCAGGGGAGUGCUGACAGUGGAUGAUUUUUUUUGUAUAAUUGGUUUGGACAUCAUAAGUACAAUUUAGGCUAUGGAAGUGUGUUGGAUCCCUAUGCUUCAUUUACUAUACGCCCUCCCUCCU